CCCGAAAAAGGCGAGUACGUGUCGGUGACUAUAAAGAAAAGAGACGACUCGUUUCGCUGUAUUGGCUGGCAAUUCGUUUUAAAGCAAACAGUCGUAAAAACAGCCAGCAUCAGUGUGUGCUGCUGUAUUCCUGCUACAGAAACAGUAAAAAAACAUUCAGAACUGGUGUUUUAAAGUUUUUGUGCCGAUAUUGGUAUUUACUUGAUUGGAAAGUUGUAACAUCACCGUGCGUUCAAAGGGGUGAAUGUUAUCAAUCUUUUGGACAUCUCAGAAAAAAAAGAAAAAAGAAUCUCUACGAAUUUGUAUCAAGUUAUAUAUUCAAGAUGGCAGUUCUCGAAGAUGUUUCAAUUUAUGUUGGUCUCAAUUGCCUUGAGGUGGAAAAUAAAUUAUGGAACUGUGUGGGAAUUCAACUUAUGCAAUAACUUUGUACAUUGAACUAAAACAAAAGAUCUGGUAUUUUAUCAUAAAAGAAAGAAGAAAACAAUUACGAAAAUCGGGAGUCUAAAAACAUUUCACUGUGCCCUGUUUAUUUUUUUUUACACAUUUUUUUUAUUCUGCACUAUUAUGUAUACUGUUGGAAAAAGCCUUAAUUCGGCAAGAGUGCAAACCUCAGUGCACAGCUCACCUGGUUUGCACCAUGAUAUUGAAGUGGAUGGGAGAAUCUUUGAUCGACCAAAAGAUCCGCCAGGUAUUUAAGCUGGAAUUAAUAUAAGGUGUAUCUACUGUAAGCUAGAUGGUUAUUUAUAACAUGGGUGUCUUCUCAUACACCAGACACACAUAGUGUAUUCAUACACCUCAUGCUCACUGUUAAGUUAUAAC